rnacentral:rRNA from 1 species
UUAAUUGAAGAGUUUGAUCAUGGCUCAGAUUGAACGCUGGCGGCAGGCCUAACACAUGCAAGUCGAGCGGGGUUUUCGGACCUAGCGGCGGACGGGUGAGUAAUGCGUAGGAAGCUGCCCGAUAGAGGGGGAUACCAGUUGGAAACGACUGUUAAUACCGCAUAAUGUCUACGGACCAAAGUGUGGGACCUUCGGGCCACAUGCUAUCGGAUGCGCCUACGUGGGAUUAGCUAGUUGGUGAGGU